CAUUACUGAAAGACAUAGGGUCUUGAGACUGCGUCUUUACCGGCGCGUGCUCGACUCUUACUCUUUAAUCCACACACACCUUUGUGCACCAUGGGACGGAAGUCCCCAUUUUACAUAAACACCUAGUUAUAUGCAUGUUUUUAUAUACUCUAUGGAGUAAUGUACAACUUUCAACAACGGAUCUCUUGGCUUUCGCAUCGAUGAAGAACGCAGCGAACGUGCGAAACGUAAUGUGAAUUGCAGAAUUCAGUGAAUCAUCGAAUCUUUGAACGCAUCUUGCGCUCCUUGGUAUUCCGAGGAGCAUGCCUGUUUGAGUGUCGUGUAGUACUCUCAAUUUCAAUCUUUUUGUUUGAAAUUGGAUUUGGGUGCUGUUGUGAAUCACAACUCAUCCUAAAUGCAUUAGCGAUCUGCCAUUGAUCACAUACAAUGUGAUAAGAAAAAGCAUUGUUGGGGAUUGAUUCGGGAUUGCUUCCAACUGUCGAAAGACAAAAAAGACAUUAAUCAUGUGUCAUUUGACCUCAGAUCAGGUAGGACUACCCGCUGAACUUAAGCAUAUCAAUA
rnacentral:rRNA from 1 species